GUGCAUUUGAGCUAAAGCAAGGGAAGCAUUUCCCCUUCCCCUGGCUGAAAGCUCAGCUGACCCCAAGGCUCUUCUGGUCAUGCUUAGCCCUCACCAGAGGCUGAGCAGAUGCUGAGGCCAUGCUUCUUGAUUUUCCCAGCCAACAGAUCUGAUGUCGCUAUCAAUGACGCUUCGACUGAGUUACAGCCAAACCAGGAUACUCAGGGACUUGGAACCUGUUACCAGACUUCCAUUUAGUACAGACACAGCGCCAGGGGGCUGAGCAUUCUUCAGCAACACCCUCUGGACCCCUUCUCUACACCAUCAUGCUGUAUGAGCAGAAGGGUUGGGGACAUGAAGGAGCAGCUCAGCUAAGGUGACCCAGAUGGUUGGGCUCAGCGCUGGAAGAACAUCGUGGUCUCCUGACUCCCCAAUUCCUGCAUCUGUCCCGCUUGUAAGAGGCUUGCCAAGAACAGGAGCUUUUGUUUGCAGGUCUCUAGGGAUGGCCACCGCAGGGAGUGUGAUUUGAAGAUGGGGUCGGGGUGACAUUACAGUCCCCCUUUAGGCUCUGCUGGGUUGCAGGCCAGCUCUCCGGGCUGCCUUUCUGGUGGCUAUUUUAAAGGCAGAUAGGAUGAAAUUAGCAACUUUUAUCAUUAAACUAGCAAAGGCUCAGGAGGGGCAGCCCCCUUCUGGGAAUGUGCCUAGCUCCUGCUCCAGAAUGGAGGAGUCUCUGUGGCUGUAGGGGAGCUGGCCUUCUAUGGAGUCUGAGCAAUGUACUGCACAGGGAGGAGAAGACGCUGCCAGAAGAUACCAGUGUCUCUAUCCAGAGAUGUUUCCAGGACACCACGUUAAGCAGCAGAGACACUAGAAGCCAAGGCCCAUAUGGUCUGGUGUGGAUGUGUGCCUCCUGUGCCUCAGUGGCAUCAUCUGUACCAUGGGAGGUGUGUAAUGAGGGGUGCGAUCACGUCUGUGAGGGCACAUACAUAGUAGAUGCCCAGGAAGUGCCAGACCCCAUCUCCUUCCCAGUUUCUUUAGAGCCUUCUGGAAGGCAUGGCAUAGCCCAGUCCUGAGGCACUGCUUUUUCUUUCAUGGAUGAUCAGGAGCUUCUGUGAUUUCUUCCCCCUCACUCUUCAUUUUGCCAAGAUGUUGCCCAUAGUAACCUCAGCAGUGGAGCGAGGAUUCUGUACUGUUCCACUGCCCUGGGGCUGCACAUCCACGUGAGCGAGGCUGACCCGUCCCAGAGCACUUUGCCCUCGGAAGGCAGCGUCGCCUGCAGGAGCAGUGCCAUGGACAGCUCUGGCGUGUCCUCCAGGGCCCUGGCAUGGUCAGUGAGAAGAGGCCCCUGGGGCGUGGGCUUCUCCCAUCAGUCAGGUUCAGAAGGCUUCCUGGGGUGGGUAGAGACGCUCCCUACCCAACCGAGUUAUUGAAAUGACAGGAGGGGGAAGGGAAGGUCUGGGCAUGUGGCACUGUGAUUUUUUUUUUCUUUCUUUCUUUCUUUUUUGGAGACUCAUUGGGGUAGAAAUGAGGACAGGAAGAAGUACAAUCCGUCUGGGAUUGGUUUAUUUUUAUUGCUUUUUAAAAUCAUGUGACUAAUUGGUGUUCAUUGAAAAAGGGAAAACAAAAAUAAGACAAGAGAAGACAGCAAAAAUAAUCUGUUAACAUCUUGGCAAAUAUCCUUUUUCUCUGCAUAGAAACAGAGAAUACUUUUGUUUCACUUAUAAAAUGUUUCUUACUGUACACAGCUUUAUAACCUGCUUUUUUCUUAAUGGGACCAUAUACUAGGACAUGUUUUCAGGCCAACAGAUAAAUAUACUUCACUUGCAUUGAUGCUAUUGGCUCAGUGGUGUUCUGGUGGUUGGUAAUUUACCCUGUCAUUCUGUCUCCCUUUACUCAGUGGCAAAAAUGACCUGGGCACCUGCACCUGGGCCUGGGCUGGACAUUGGUCCUUGGCAGAUGGGGAAGGUUGGUGACCAGCAAGGCACAGAAUAAGGACACACGGUC